rnacentral:lncRNA from 1 species
CUUGUAUGGGAUUUCAUCUCAUUAUGGAACUGGCUACUAGAAGCAGAGUUCAACUUGUUUGUAUACCAGAGCACAAGUGGAUUGAAGGCAAUGAGGUUUAGAUGGGUUGGUCAAAAAAGGGCUUGUUGUCCUUUAUUUGCCUUGACUCUGCCCUGGGCAUCAUAUAUGAUGCAUUUGAGCAGAUUGUCAGGGACUGGUUGGCAACUCAGCACCUCUCCCAUUGGAGAUAUAUUCCAGCACUAAGACAAGCAAAGUCUUCUAUUUUAGGUCCCUCAUUACAGAGAACUAAAGAGAUGCUUGCAUUGCAUAAAAAUCAAUCUAG